CUGCAGUUUCACAGAGAUAUGAAAUCAGUAGUUACUGGGCAGCUGUAUCUUAGCUGGUUGGAAAGUGACACAAUAUAUGCACUUGGCAUGCUUGGAAAGCACGUUUCUUUUCCCGGGAAAAGUACCAUAAAGUGUGACUUGGGUCUUAGCUUCAAAUGCCAGAGAUAUUAACAGAUUGCUACAAAGAGCUGAAGAACAGAGAAGACUAUGACCUCAGGAGGUGAUGGACUGAGAGGGGGGUGACAUACAGAUACGCUAGGAAGUACUUUAUGUGACUUCUGCAUUAUAUCUAGCCUAAGAAAUGAAUUCACAAGACUUCUAGAAAAACAAAACAAACAAACAAACAAAACCCCUACAUCUGGUUAAUCAGCAUCACAAUUCCGUAAUAGUAAUACUUUGAAGGGAAGUUACCAUAGAAAGAACUAAGAUGCAAGCAGCAAAGAAACACUGCAGUGGGACUGUGGAGAGGAUUUUGAUGUAAAAUAAUGAAAGGAUUCAAGUAUAAGAAUAUUAAUGCAAUUAGUGGCAUCAUGCAAUUGUAUCUGCAAAGUCCUAACUUUGUUCAGCAGAGAAGUGAUUUGGAGCAUACUGACUGUACAAGGGAUCUGUGUUAACUGGAAAGAAAAAAAACUUUGUUGACAAAGGUGCUGCCAGGACACUUGCCUAACUGAUGAGCUACUUUGUGAUCCGCAGCAAGGAAGGCCAAACUUCUGUGUCUCUCGUUUCACUUCACUGUUUAAUUAUUUCUCACUGAAGAGGCUGUCUCUUUUAACUGAUUUGUAUGAUAUAUAUAAUAGCUAACCCUUUGGCUCUAUUGCAUUAUUGUAAAUACUCACUGCAUGUGGUUUGUUUCUAAGAGCCUUCCAAACUUAAAAGGAAGCAAAAGCCUAUGAACUAUGCAAGUAGCUGAAUAUAGAUGCAAUAUUUUUGACAAGUGUCAGGCAAGAAGUUGCAACAAAUACAGAUAAAAUCCUGUAAUAACUUAAUACCAGACUGUUGUGCUGCAAAUUUUCUUUAUUGUCACAUGUUACAUUACAGGAGUUAUCAAGAGGGAAACUAGAAAUGUUGGCAGCUGCACAGAAGGUUAGACAGGGAUUUUGUCAUCCAUAGAGGGUUAACAUUUCUUAGGAGGACUCUAACCAGAGCCAUUUUAUCACUCUUCUCCAAGACAAUCUGCAUGUGCUGCUUGCAGCCCAGCAGUGAGAUAGAAGCAAGCUACUUCAUGUUUGUCUCUUUGAUAUACCAGAAGCGUUCAUUUUCCAUGGAAAUCUGGAUUUCUGUAGAAAUUCAUCCCAGCACUGUGGUUCAGCUACCUUGUCAAAAACAGCAAGCAAUGGAGCAAAAGAACAGACAAUGACAAUUGACAAGAAUCAGCAGAUAGGAACUCUCCCUGGCAGCAAUAGAAGAUAACAACAUCCUUCUGCUAUUCCUCCGUAUCAGUAGGUUAAUCCAGAAGGAGAGGGCAAGAUAAAUAUCACUAGAACGAUCAAGAAGCAGAAUAUAAAAGUUCAAGCUUUAUGCUGUACACUGCAGAUUCUGAAGGGGAAGUGCCAGGCUCGUCUUGUUGAGAUAAUGUGUUUUUAUGACUGUAGAUUGCAAGAAGAUGCACAUCUUUGAUGGACUUCAUUUACAGGCCAUUUUGGUCAGACUGGAAAAGGGAAGUUGUCAUUUGAGAAAUGUGGUGUCUCAUUCAGCCUGGCUUCACACAAUGCAAAUGCAUCCAUGUCCACAUGAAUGGCCAUGUGUCCCUCGAAGUUAGUUUGUACACGUAUUGACCAAUCAAUUCAAUUAAAAAGGGUUGAAAUCUCAC